rfam:Arcobacter marinus strain SH-4D_Col1 genome assembly, contig: Ga0139036_108
UAGGUACAACAGACGAUAGCUUUUAAUUAAGAGGAAAGUCCGAGCUGCUGUGAAGUAUGGUUCCAUUUAACGAAUGGCUAGAGUAAUCUAAGGGAUAGUGCAACAGAGAAUAAACCGCCCAAUUUUUUGGGUAAGGGUGAAACGGUGAGGUAAGAGCUCACCAGACUUUUGAGUAAUUUUAAGUGCUUUGUAAACCCAACCUGCAGCAAGAAGAGUGUGGUAUUAACUUCACAAUUAUUGCUCUUCGCUAGAGUAUUAAAGUAAUUUAAUACAUAGAUAAAUUAUCGUCAAAAACAAAACUCGGCUUAUGUUGUGCCUAAUAC